UACGUAGGGUGCGAGCGUUAAUCGGAAUUACUGGGCGUAAAGCGUGCGCAGGCGGUUCGUUGUGUCGGCGGUGAAAGCCCCGGGCUUAACCUGGGAAUGGCAUUUGGGACUGCAAGGCUUGAGUGCGGCAGAGGAGACUGGAAUUCCUGGUGUAGCAGUGAAAUGCGUAGAUAUCAGGAGGAACACCGAUGGCGAAGGCAGGUCUCUGGGCUGACACUGACGCUCAUGCACGAAAGCGUGGGGAGCAAACAGG
rnacentral:rRNA from 1 species